GGCGUUGGAUGAUUGAGGGGAGCUGCUCCUAGUACGAGAGGACCGGAGUGGACGAACCGCUGGUGUUCGGGUUGUGUCGCCAGACGCAUUGCCCGGUAGCUAUGUUCGGAUAGGAUAACCGCUGAAAGCAUCUAAGCGGGAAGCCCCUUCCAAGAUGAGAUCUCCCUGGACCCUUGAGGUCCCUGAAGAGCCGUUCAAGACCAGGACGUUGAUAGGUCGGGUGUGUAAGCGCUGCGAGGCGUUGAGCUAACCGAUACUAAUUGCUCGUGAGGCUUGAC
rnacentral:rRNA from 1 species